CCAGACUCCUACGGGAGGCAGCAGUGGGGAAUAUUGCACAAUGGGGGGAACCCUGAUGCAGCGACGCCGCGUGAGGGAAGAAGGUUUUCGGAUUGUAAACCUCUGUCCUCUGUGACGAUAAUGACGGUAGCAGAGGAGGAAGCCACGGCUGACUACGUGCCAGCAGCCGCGGUAAUACGUAGGUGGCGAGCGUUAUCCGGAUUUACUGGGCGUAAAGGGAGCGCAGGCGGCGCGCCAAGUCUGAUGUGAAACCCCGGGGCUCAACCCCGGGCAUGCAUUGGAAACUGGCGGGCUGGAGUGCCGGAGAGGUAAGCGGAAUUCCUAGUGUAGCGGUGAAAUGCGUAGAUAUUAGGAGGAACACCAGUGGCGAAGGCGGCUUACUGGACGGCAACUGACGCUGAGGCUCGAAAGCGUGGGGAGCAAACAGGAUUAGAUACCCCAGUA
rnacentral:rRNA from 1 species